rnacentral:rRNA from 1 species
GUUGGUGGAAAGAUUUAUCGGUGGUGGAUGGACUCGCGGCCUAUCAGCUUGUUGGUGGGGUAAUGGCCUACCAAGGCGACGACGGGUAGCCGGCCUGAGAGGGCGACCGGCCACACUGGGACUGAGACACGGCCCAGACUCCUACGGGAGGCAGCAGUGGGGAAUAUUGCACAAUGGGCGAAAGCCUGAUGCAGCGACGCCGCGUGAGGGAUGACGGCCUUCGGGUUGUAAACCUCUUUCAGCAGGGAAGAAGCUUUUGUGACGGUACCUGCAGAAGAAGCACCGGCUAACUACGUGCCAGCAGCCGCGGUAAUACGUAGGGUGCGAGCGUUGUCCGGAAUUAUUGGGCGUAAAGAGCUUGUAGGCGGUUUGUCGCGUCUGCUGUGAAAAUUCAGGGCUUAACCCUGGACGUGCAGUGGGUACGGGCAGACUAGAGUGUGGUAGGGGAGACUGGAAUUCCUGGUGUAGCGGUGGAAUGCGCAGAUAUCAGGAGGAACACCGAUGGCGAAGGCAGGUCUCUGGGCCAUUACUGACGCUGAGAAGCGAAAGCAUGGGGAGCGAACAGGAUUAGAUACCCUGGUAGUCCAUGCCGUAAACGUUGGGCGCUAGGCGUGGGUCUCAUUCCACGAGAUCCGUGUCGCAGCUAACGCAUUAAGCGCCCCGCCUGGGGAGUACGGCCGCAAGGCUAAAACUCAAAGGAAUUGACGGGGGGCCCGCACAA